GACGAACGCUGGCGGCGUGCUUAACACAUGCAAGUCGAACGGAAAGGCCCUGCUUUUGUGGGGUGCUCGAGUGGCGAACGGGUGUGUAACACGUGAGUAACCUGCCCUUGACUUUGGGAUAACUUCAGGAAACUGGGGCUAAUACCGGAUAGGAGCUCCCGCUGCAUGGUGGGGGUUGGAAAGUUUCGGCGGUUGGGGAUGGACUCGCGGCUUAUCAGCUUGUUGGUGGGGUAGUGGCUUACCAAGGCCUUGACGGGUAGCCGGCCUGAGAGGGUGACCGGCCACAUUGGGACUGAGAUACGGCCCAGACUCCUACGGGAGGCAGCAGUGGGGAAUAUUGCACAAUGGGCGGAAGCCUGAUGCAGCAACGCCGCGUGCGGGAUGACGGCCUUCGGGUUGUAAACCGCUUUCGGCUGGGACGAAGCGUGAGUGACGGUAAUGGGUAAAGAAGCACCGGCUAACUACGUG
rnacentral:rRNA from 1 species